rnacentral:rRNA from 1 species
CGCAUCUGUGCAUGCAGCAUAUCAAUAAGCGGAGGAAAAGAAACUAACAAGGAUUCCCUUAGUAACGGCGAGUGAAGCGGGAAGAGCUCAGAUUUGAAAUCUUCAAGGUUUUACCUUGACGAAUUGUAGUUUAAAGAAGUGUUUUCUGCUGAAGUUUUGGUAAAAGUUCUUUGGAAUAGGACAUCAUAGAGGGUGAGAAUCCCGUAUUUGACCAUUAUUUUCAGCUUUGUGAUACACUUUCAAAGAGUCGGAUUGUUUGGGAAUAGCAGUCCAAAAUGGGUGGUAAAUUUCAUCUAAGGCUAAAUAUUGGCGAGAGACCGAUAGCGAACAAGUACCGUGAGGGAAAGAUGAAAAGAACUUUGAAAAGAGAGUUAAACAGUAGCGUGAAAUUGUCAAAAGGGAAGCGUUUGACACCAGUGUUGUUUUCUCGAAAAUCAAUUAAAAAUGGCUCGAUUUUGUAUUGCUGAGACCUUAAAAGCUCACUGUACAUUUUUCGUGUCUUUUUUAAUGCACUUUUCGUUUAACAAGUCAACAUCAGUUUCUUUUGUUGUAAAAGGGUCAUUGGAAGGUGGCUUUCUUUUCGGAGAAAGUGUUUAUAGCCUUUGGCCUCUGCAAUCGAAGAGACUGAGGUCUGCAGCGUAGACUCUUCGGGGUUAGAUACAUUUGUGCUAAGUUAUAGCUUUUUAUAGACAACUUGUUGACUAUAAUUAGUCUUGUAGCUUACUCGCUUAUGCUAUUUUACCUACGCUUAGGAUGUUGACGCAUGAGAUAUACGC